GCCGUAUCCGUCGAACCGUCACCCCAGUAAAUCGUGGCCGAGAAGUCGCCGGGCGUGUUGGCCAGCGCGCCCGAAUUGGCGUCCGUGAGAUUGGCCACCGUCACGACCUGGGUGGCGGGCGGUCCGAUCGGGACC
rnacentral:misc_RNA from 1 species